GCACUGCUGACGAGUCCCAAUUGGGAGGACAAAACAGCUGUCCAGUAC
rnacentral:hammerhead_ribozyme from 1 species